AUUGGGGUGGGAAAGUGGGAAAGGAGCAGGAAAAUUCCAAAUCUCUGGGUUGGGAAAGGAAAAACUGGGAAUGCGGCUGGAAUUGGGGAGGAAAAGUGGGAAUGCAGCUGGAAUUGGGGUGAAAAACUGGGAAAAGAGCGGGGAAAAAUGGGAAAAGAACUGGAAAAACUAGGAAAGGAGUGGGAAAAUCCCAAAUCCUUGGGUUGGGAACAGGAAAAACUGGGAAUGCAGCUGGGAUUGGGAUGAAAAAUGGGAAAGAAGCUGGAUUUGGGUUGAAAAACUGGGAAAGAAGUUGGGAUUGGGGUGGAAAAGUGGGAAAGAAGCUGGAAUUGGGGUGGAAAAGUGGGAAAAGCAGCGGGAAAAUCCCAAAUCCUUGGGUUGGGAAUGGGAAAAUCUGGGAAUGCAGCUGGAAUUGGGGUGAAAAACUGGGAAAAGAGCCAGAAAAACUGGGAAAAGAACAGGAAAAACUGGGAAAGCAGUGGGAAAAUUCCAAAUCUCUGGGUUGGGAAAGGAAAAACUGGGAAUGCAGCUGGGAUUGGGGCAGAAAAGUGGGAUUGCAGCUGGGAUUGGGGUGGAAAAAUGGGAAAGGAGUGGGAAAAUUCCAAAUUCUUGGGUUGGGAACAGGAAAAACUGGGAAUGCAGCUGGAAUUAGGGUGAAAAAGUGGGAAAGAAGCUGGAAUUGGGGUGGAAAAGUGGGAAUGCAGCUGGAAUUGGAGUGAAAAAUGGGAAUGCAGCUGGAAUUGGGGUGAAAAUUGGGAAAGAAGCUGGAAUUGGGGUGAAAAACUGGGAAAAGAGCAGGGAAAACUGGGAAAGGAGUGGGAAAAUCCCAAAUCCUUGGGUGGGGAACAGGAAAAUCUGGGAAUGCAGCUGGAAUUGGGGUAAAUAAACAGGGAAGGAACAGGAAUUGGGGUGAAAAUCUGGGAAAGGAGUGGGGGAAAUCCCGGCUCCCUGGGCCGGGAAUUCCGGGAAUGGUUCUGGAAGGUUCCGUGUCCCCCCGCAGAGCUGCAGGAGCUGCAGGAAUUGCAGGAAUUGCAGGAAUUGCAGGAAUUGCAGGAAUUGCAGGAAUUGCGGGAGCUGCUCCGCGAGGCCGCCCAGGACACGGCGCCGGAGCCGCUGUGAGCGCAGGUCCUGGAGGGGGAGGCUCCGGCGCUUUCCCCUCCCCCCACUCCGCACAAGAUUCCAACCAAACCUCGGGAAUUUCGGGACUUUUCGUGGGAGAGAGAAAGAAAAACAAAGACAAAAAAACCCACAAAAAACGGAUUUUUCCCGAGUUUUUUUCCCGAUUUUUCCCGACUUUUCCCUCCUCCGAGGGGCAGGGAAGGAGCCGGGGCUGCGCCUUCCCGAUUUCCCGGGAAUUCCCGGCGGGAUCCGCGACACUACAGGGACCGGGAGCGGCCGGAAUUUGGGAAUUCCGUCCCUCAGAAUCCCGGGAUCGGCUGCUCCCACAGCCCCCACGCUUUAUUUAUUUUUAAUUUCCCUUCUUUUCCGGUGCUUUUGCUUUCUUUGGGAAUUUUUUCCCGUUUUUUCCCAUUUCAUCCCCCUUUUUUCCUGUUUUUUUUUCCCGUUUUUCCCAUUUUUUUCCCGUUUUUUCCCAUUUUUUUCCCGUUUUUUCCCGUUUUUUCCCGUUUUUUUCCCAUUUUUCCCCCGUCUCUAUUUAUCACCAGCCGCAGAAUUCCCGGGAAAACGGGGAAGGCGGAAAAGGGGAGAGGGAGGGGCUGGAAUUCCUCGUUCAUCCCAAAUUUCCGGAGUCGGAGUCGUGGAAAUCGGGGAUCUCCCAGCCCGGAAUUCCCAAAAUUCCCGGGGAAUUCCCGGGGGUCGCUUUUCUUUCUUAAGUGCAAUAAAAUCUUUCAGGGAGCUGAGGGGGCGGGGUUGGAAUUCCGGGGGGAUAUUCCCGAUAUUCCGGACGGGAAUUUUCGCUGGUGUUUCCGGGAUUUGGUUUUGGGGAUUUUGGGGGGUUUUUUUCCGUCUUUUCCCCGUUUUUGGGUGGUUUUUUUUCCAUCUUUUCCCGGUUUUUGGGUGGGUUUUUUUUCCGUCUUUUCCCAUUUUUUUGGUGGGUUUUUUUCCAUCUUUUCCCGGUUUUUGGGUGGUUUUUUUUUUCCGUCUUUUCCCGGUUUUUCGGUGUUUUUUUUCCGCCUUUUCCCAGUUUUUGGGUAGGUUUUUUUUCCAUCUUUUCCCGGUUUUUGGGUGGGUUUUUUUUCCAUCUUUUCCCGGUUUUUGGGUGUUUUGUUUGUUGUUUUUUUUCUUCCCUUUGUUUUCCCCGUGGUGGAAUUUUUGUUAACGGCUGUUUUCUAAUUAAAGGAAUUCUGCAUUCGUCACCCGCCCUCUUUUUGGGGGCUCAUCCCGGAAUUCCAGGAUUUUGGGAAUUUGUGGAUUUGGGGAGAGGGGUGGGGGGUGAAAUCCCCAAAAAAAAACCCGGAACAGGCGGGAAAUCCCAAAAAAUCCCAAAAUACAGAACCAGGGGUGGAGCUUGUUUUAUUGGGGGAUGAUCCUGGGGGGUUUUCCUGGGAAUUCUGGGUGGGAAUGACCCAAAUUUGGGGCUUUUUUGGGGAAUUUUCCUGAUUUUCCUUCCCAAAAAGGCCCAGAUUUUGGGAAGAGAUCCCAAAAAUGUCUCAGGGUCGGGGAUUUGUGGGAGGGAUCAAAAUUCCCUCGGAUUCUGGGAGCUUUGGGAUCAUCCCGGUCCCCUCCGAGCAUCUCCCAGGGACAAAAACUGGGAAUAAAAGCCCGGAAUUCCCUCUGGAUCAUCCCAGUCCCCUCCAGCACCUCCGAAAUCCGGGAUCAAAACCCCGGAAUUCCCAAUCCCCGUCUUUCCCGGCAUCUCCCAGGGACAAAAAACGGGAAUAAACCCAAAGAAUUCCCUCUGGAUCUUCCCAAACCCUUCCAACAUCUCCAAAAAUCAGGAAUAAAACCUGGGAAUUCCCUCUGGAUCAUCCCAAACCCCUCCAGCAUCUCCCAGGGACAAAAACUGGGAAUAAAACCUGGGAAUUCCCUCUGGAUCAUCCCAGUCCCCUUCUGGAUCGCAGUUCUGGGAUAAAACCCCAGAAUUCCCAAUCCCGGUUCCCCUAAAAGGAUCCCCAAAUCCUCCAGGAGCUCUCCCUGCCCUUGGGGGGGGUCCGGAUCCCAUUCCUGAUCCCAAAUCCUGAUCCCAAAUCCUGGUGCAAUUCCUGAUCCCAAAUCCUGGUCCAAUUCCUGAUCCCAAAUCCUGAUCCCAAAUCCUGGUCCAAUUCCUGAUCCCAAAUCCUGAUCCCAAAUCCUGGUGCAAUUCCUGAUCCCAAAUCCUGGUGCAAUUCCUGAUCCCAAAUCCCGAUCCCAAAUCCUGGUGCCAUUCCUGAUCCCAAAUCCCGAUCCCAAAUCCUGGGGCAAUUCCUGAUUCCAAAUCCCAAUCCCAAAUCCUGGUGCAAUUACUGAUCCCAAAAUCCUGAUCCCAAACCCUGGUGCACUUCCUGAUCCCAAGUCCUGGUGCCAUUCCUGAUCCCAAAUCCCAAAUCCUGAUGCCAUUCCCAAUCCCAAAUCCCGAUGCCAAUCCUGAUCUCAGAUCCCGGAUCCCA
rnacentral:lncRNA from 1 species